UACGUAGGGUCCAAGCGUUAUCCGGAAUCACUGGGCGUAAAGCGUGUGUAGGCGGCGUGUUAAGUGCGAUGCGAAAUCUUGUGGCUCAACCAUAUAGACGGUAUCGCAUACUGGCAUGCUAGAGGAUGGCAGAGGCAAGUGGAAUUGGUAGUGUAGCAGUGAAAUGCGUAGAUAUUACCAGGAACACCAAUGGCGAAGGCAGCUUGCUGGGCCAUAUCUGACGCUGAGACACGAAAGCGUGGGGAGCGAACAGG
rnacentral:rRNA from 1 species